rnacentral:rRNA from 1 species
AUUGAACGCUGGCGGCAUGCCUUACACAUGCAAGUCGAACGGUAACAGGUUAAGCUGACGAGUGGCGAACGGGUGAGUAAUGUAUCGGAACGUGCCCAGUCGUGGGGGAUAACUGCUCGAAAGAGCAGCUAAUACCGCAUACGACCUGAGGGUGAAAGCGGGGGAUCGCAAGACCUCGCGCGAUUGGAGCGGCCGAUAUCAGAUUAGGUAGUUGGUGAGGUAAAGGCUCACCAAGCCGACGAUCUGUAGCUGGUCUGAGAGGACGACCAGCCACACUGGGACUGAGACACGGCCCAGACUCCUACGGGAGGCAGCAGUGGGGAAUUUUGGACAAUGGGCGCAAGCCUGGUCCAGCCAUGCCGCGUGCGGGAAGAAGGCCUUCGGGUUGUAAACCGCUUUUGUCAGGGAAGAAAAGGUUCUGGCUAAUACCUGGGACUCAUGACGGUACCUGAAGAAUAAGCACCGGCUAACUACGUG